AUUGAACGCUGGCGGCAGGCCUAACACAUGCAAGUCGAACGGUAACAGGAAGAAGCUUGCUUCUUUGCUGACGAGUGGCGGACGGGUGAGGAAUGUCUGGGAAACUGCCUGAUGGAGGGGGAUAACUACUGGAAACGGUAGCUAAUACCGCAUAAUGUCGCAAGACCAAAGAGGGGGACCUUCGGGCCUCUCGCCAUCGGAUGUGCCCAGAUGGGAUUAGCUAGUAGGUGGGGUAACGGCUCACCUAGGCGACGAUCCCUAGCUGGUCUGAGAGGAUGACCAGCCACACUGGAACUGAGACACGGUCCAGACUCCUACGGGAGGCAGCAGUAGGGAAUAUUGCACAAUGGGCGCAAGCCUGAUGCAGCCAUGCCGCGUGUAUGAAGAAGGCCUUCGGGUUGUAAAGUACUUUCAGCGGGGAGGAAGAGAGUAAAGUUAAUACCUUUGCUCAUUGACGUUACCCGCAGAAGAAGCACCGGCUAACUCCGUG
rnacentral:rRNA from 1 species